GUGUAUAUUAGGAAACAACAUGGGGACACACCUGUCUACUCCAUUUCAUAAACAACAGAAUCACAAGCAUGGGCUCAGACAUGUUUCCCAGUCCCUUAAUCAAUAAUUCUCUCUCCCUCUAUCUAUCUCUCUCUCUCUCUCUCUCUCUCUCUCUCUCUCUCUCACACACACACACACACACACACACACUCUCACACAAUAUAUAUCUAUAUUCGUUCUCCAACUUUUCGCUCCCCAAGUAUACCUUCUUUUCAUUCAGCUGUAUAAACGAUGAAAUCGGUGUACAUCAUUUUCUUAUGCUUCCUUAUAACAGUUCUCUGUCUUUCUUCCCACAAGAUCAGUACCGAUUCACGGACUUCUCUCCCAGGAAGACGACCCACGAGAAAAUUAAGCAUGUCAUUGACCAACAACAAGGUUAAUAAGUAUCAAAAGUUCAAGGUCGUUGAUGGAGACGGAGAGUCAGAAACAUCGAAGUUCCGAGAAAUUCCAGUAGUAAUCAAACAUUCAAACAGCAACAGUGAUUUAGACGAGCUUGUUUAUCACAUCGAUUAUCAUGGAGUGACUACUCAUCCAAAUCCAACACCUAGACAUCCCACACCAUAGACCAUUACUGAACCUUCUUGAUUGAGAGUUAUGCAGAUGUGAUGUACUUAUAUGUCUCAUGAAGGAACUCUUGAUUAAAGUUGUCGUUACUAUUGUUGCGGAAUUCAUGUUUGUUUCAUCAUUUCUCUCUACCUACAUAGCUGUUUGUUCACACGAAUAAAACCCAAGCCAACAAGUGAAUUAUGACGUACCUUGAGCCAUAGGUUAUGGAAGCACAUGGCACUUUAACCGUAAACUGGCUACAUUACCUAUAAAUCUGGAUCAUUAACAGAUGAAAUCAGACUCCACUUUGACAGAUAUAUGAUGAAUAAUUCCAGAUGAAGACUCGGAAGAAAUAUGAGCUUUUCUUUGGUUCUGGUUCCAACCUAAGAGCGCAACACGAACAACUCCUUCCCACCUGUAUUGCACAAUGAGAACCAGAGUAUGUCAGAAGUCUAGCAGCGUUAAAUACCAAUUUUCAUUACGAGUGCAGAAUUUUUAUCAUGUCGUUUGAAACUUUGUAAUUUUUCAAGAAAUCCAAAAGUAGAAACUUUCUUUUGUA